AGUCAGUAAAAACAACACGUCGCGGGUCUGUGGCAGAUGGUACCUGUGAUGCUGGAUGACAGGCGGCUUCUCGUCGCUUCAGCGUCCGUCAACACGGAUGUCUGCCGGGGAAAGUGGGUGAAAGGAUCAGGAAGGACGAUGUACAGCUGUGACACCUCCUAGCAUCCGAGUUUGACCUUUUAAAGGCGCCAUAUUAUAAUUAUUAACCCAGGAUCACACAAUGACGCUGCAUUUAUAACACGAAAUGUUUCAAAGGGUAAUUGAUGAUCAGUGAACAUGUUUAUUACCAACAACAACAGAGCUGCAGGUUGGGGUGGACUUUGUGUUGUAUGACCGUAUGUAAUGUACUGGUAUGCAGUAAACAUGCACAGAGCUCUACAGCGAUCAAUGGACGAAGGAAUUUUAAGGCUUAAAACACCUACAAAAUACUGUAUAUUUGCAGCAGAAUAAAAUGCAACUGAAAUAAAGUACUAUUUCAAAUAAAUCUCA